GGGGGUUUAGCUCAAAUGGUAGAGCGAUCGCUUCGCAUGCGAUAGGCACCGGGAUCGAUACCCGGAAUCUCCA
rfam:Basidiobolus meristosporus CBS 931.73 K493scaffold_1, whole genome shotgun sequence.